CUAACUGCGUGCAGACGUGUGAACUGCAGGACACAUGAACACCGACGUUUUGAACGCAUAUGGCGACCUGAAAUAAAUUUCAGGCCAUGUCUGGCUGAGGGUCGGAUAUGAAACAACAACCAAAGUUGCCCAAGUAAGGGGAAGUGAAGACGCAAGUGCUUGGUUCCCUGGGUACUAAUCGCCGGGUCUGUGCUGAACAGGCUUGGUUAGAAUGGAAUGGGGUGAUGUCCUCAUGAAACGGAUUUGUAAUAAAUUCCGUGAGGCACAACACUUUCAUUUGUGAAUAAAAGACUGUCUGACAGUCUAUUCUCUCAUAGUUGCGACCUCAGAGCAGGCAAGAUUACCCGCUAAAUUUAAGC
rnacentral:misc_RNA from 1 species